GUGUCAGCAGCCGCGGUAAUACCGGCAGUCCGAGUGAUGGCCGAUCUUAUUGGGCCUAAAGCGUCCGUAGCUGGCCGCACAAGUCCAUCGGAAAAUCCACCCGCCCAACGGGUGGGCGUCCGGUGGAAACUGUGUGGCUUGGGACCGGAAGGCGCGACGGGUACGUCCGGGGUAGGAGUGAAAUCCCGUAAUCCUGGACGGACCGCCGAUGGCGAAAGCACGUCGCGAGGACGGAUCCGACAGUGAGGGACGAAAGCCAGAGUCUCGAACCGG
rnacentral:rRNA from 1 species